rnacentral:rRNA from 1 species
UACGUAGGGUCCGAGCGUUGUCCGGAAUUACUGGGCGUAAAGAGCUCGUAGGUGGUUUGUCGCGUUGUCCGUGAAAACUCACAGCUCAACUGUGGGCGUGCGGGCGAUACGGGCAGACUGGAGUACUGCAGGGGAGACUGGAAUUCCUGGUGUAGCGGUGGAAUGACGCAGAUAUCAGGAGGAACACCGGUGGCGAAGGCGGGUCUCUGGGCAGUAACUGACGCUGGAGG